rnacentral:rRNA from 1 species
AGCUUGCUUUCUUUGCUGGCGACCGGCGCACGGGUGAGUAACACGUAUCCAACCUGCCCUUUACUCGGGGAUAGCCUUUCGAAAGAAAGAUUAAUACCCGAUAGCAUAAUGAUUCCGCAUGGUUUCAUUAUUAAAGGAUUCCGGUAAAGGAUGGGGAUGCGUUCCAUUAGGUUGUUGGUGAGGUAACGGCUCACCAAGCCUUCGAUGGAUAGGGGUUCUGAGAGGAAGGUCCCCCACAUUGGAACUGAGACACGGUCCAAACUCCUACGGGAGGCAGCAGUGAGGAAUAUUGGUCAAUGGGCGCUAGCCUGAACCAGCCAAGUAGCGUGAAGGAUGAAGGCUCUAUGGGUCGUAAACUUCUUUUAUAUAAGAAUAAAGUGCAGUAUGUAUACUGUUUUGUAUGUAUUAUAUGAAUAAGGAUCGGCUAACUCCGUGCCAGCAGCCGCGGUAAUACGGAGGAUCCGAGCGUUAUCCGGAUUUAUUGGGUUUAAAGGGAGCGUAGGUGGACUGGUAAGUCAGUUGUGAAAGUUUGCGGCUCAACCGUAAAAUUGCAGUUGAUACUGUCAGUCUUGAGUACAGUAGAGGUGGGCGGAAUU